UACGAAGGGGGCUAGCGUUGUCCGGAAUCAUUGGGCGUAAAGCACGUGUAGGCGGUCCGGUAAGUCCGCUGUGAAAGUCGGGGGCUCAACCCUCGAAUGCCGGUGGAUACUGUCGGGCUAGAGUGCGGAAGAGGCGAGUGGAAUUCCUGGUGUAGCGGUGAAAUGCGCAGAUAUCAGGAGGAACACCAAUUGCGAAGGCAGCUCGCUGGGACGUUACUGACGCUGAGACGCGAAAGCGUGGGGAGCAAACAGG
rnacentral:rRNA from 1 species